GACGAACGCUGGCGGCGUGCUUAACACAUGCAAGUCGAACGGAAAGGCCCUGCUUUUGUGGGGUGCUCGAGUGGCGAACGGGUGAGUAACACGUGAGUAACCUGCCCUUGACUUUGGGAUAACUUCAGGAAACUGGGGCUAAUACCGGAUAGGAGCUCCUGCUGCAUGGUGGGGGUUGGAAAGUUUCGGCGGUUGGGGAUGGACUCGCGGCUUAUCAGCUUGUUGGUGGGGUAGUGGCUUACCAAGGCUUUGACGGGUAGCCGGCCUGAGAGGGUGACCGGCCACAUUGGGACUGAGAUACGGCCCAGACUCCUACGGGAGGCAGCAGUGGGGAAUAUUGCACAAUGGGCGGAAGCCUGAUGCAGCAACGCCGCGUGCGGGAUGACGGCCUUCGGUUUGUAAACCGCUUUCGCCUGUGACGAAGCGUGAGUGACGGUAAUGGGUAAAUAAGCACCGGCUAACUACGUG
rnacentral:rRNA from 1 species